rnacentral:rRNA from 1 species
UACAGAGGGUGCAAGCGUUAAUCGGAAUUACUGGGCGUAAAGCGUGCGUAGACGGUUAUGUAAGUCGGGUGUGAAAGCCCCGGGCUCAACCUGGGAAUUGCAUUCGAGACUGUGUAGCUAGGGUACUGAAGAGGGAAGCGGAAUUUCAGGUGUAGCGGUGAAAUGCGUAGAUAUCUGAAGGAACACCAGUGGCGAAAGCGGCUUCCUGGUCCAGUACCGACGUUCAGGCACGAAAGCGUGGGGAGCAAACAGG